AUUGAACGCUGGCGGCAGGCUUAACACAUGCAAGUCGAGCGGAGUGAUGGUGCUUGCACUAUCACUUAGCGGCGGACGGGUGAGUAAUGCUUAGGAAUCUGCCUAUUAGUGGGGGACAACAUCUCGAAAGGGAUGCUAAUACCGCAUACGUCCUACGGGAGAAAGCAGGGGAUCACUUGUGACCUUGCGCUAAUAGAUGAGCCUAAGUGGGAUUAGCUAGUUGGUGGGGUAAAGGCCUACCAAGGCGACGAUCUGUAGCGGGUCUGAGAGGAUGAUCCGCCACAAUGGGACGGAGACACGGCCCAGACUCCUACGGGAGGCAGCAGUGGGGAAUAUUAGACAAUGGGGGGAACCCUGAUCCAGCCAUGCCGCGUGUGUGAAGAAGGCCUUAUGGUUGUAAAGCACUUUAAGCGAGGAGGAGGCUCUUUUGGCUAAUACCCAAGAUGAGUGGACGUUACUCGCAGAAUAAGCACCGGCUAACUCUGUGCCAGCAGCCGCAGUAA
rnacentral:rRNA from 1 species